GCCCGAGUGGUGAAAUUGGUAGACACAACAGACUUAAAAUCUGUCGCUGAGUAAUCGGCGUACCGGUUCAAUUCCGGUCUCGGGCACCA
rnacentral:tRNA from 1 species